GCUUGCUUGUUGGGGUUGUAGGACACUCUAUACGGAGUUACAAAAGAACAUGUUAGACGAAUCAUCUGGAAAGAUGAAUCAAAGAAGGUAAUAAUCCUGUAGUCGAAAACAUAUUCUCUCUUGAGUGGAUCCUGAGUACGACGGAGCACGUGAAAUUCCGUCGGAAUCUGGGAGGACCAUCUCCUAAGGCUAAAUACUCUCUAGUGACCGAUAGUGAACCAGUACCGUGAGGGAAAGGUGAAAAGUACCCCGGAAGGGGAGUGAAAGAGAACUUGAAACCGUGUGCUUACAAGUAGUCAGAGCCCGUUAAUGGGUGAUGGCGUGCCUUUUGUAGAAUGAACCGGCGAGUUACGAUCUGAUGCAAGGUUAAGCAGCAAAUGUGGAGCCGCAGCGAAAGCGAGUCUGAAUAGGGCGUUGAGUAUUUGGUCGUAGACCCGAAACCAGGUGAUCUACCCUUGGUCAGGUUGAAGUUCAGGUAACACUGAAUGGAGGACCGAACCGACUUACGUUGAAAAGUGAGCGGAUGAACUGAGGGUAGCGGAGAAAUUCCAAUCGAACUUGGAGAUAGCUGGUUCUCUCCGAAAUAGCUUUAGGGCUAGCCUCAAGUGAUGAUUAUUGGAGGUAGAGCACUGUUUGGACGAGGGGCCCCUCUCGGGUUACCGAAUUCAGACAAACUCCGAAUGCCAAUUAAUUUAACUUGGGAGUCAGAACAUGGGUGAUAAGGUCCGUGUUCGAAAGGGAAACAGCCCAGACCACCAGCUAAGGUCCCAAAAUAUAUGUUAAGUGGAAAAGGAUGUGGCGUUGCCCAGACAACUAGGAUGUUGGCUUAGAAGCAGCCAUCAUUUAAAGAGUGCGUAAUAGCUCACUAGUCGAGUGACACUGCGCCGAAAAUGUACCGGGGCUAAACAUAUUACCGAAGCUGUGGAUUGUCCUUUGGACAAUGGUAGGAGAGCGUUCUAAGGGCGUCGAAGCAUGAUCGCAAGGACAUGUGGAGCGCUUAGAAGUGAGAAUGCCGGUGUGAGUAGCGAAAGACGGGUGAGAAUCCCGUCCACCGAUUGACUAAGGUUUCCAGAGGAAGGCUCGUCCGCUCUGGGUUAGUCGGGUCCUAAGCUGAGGCCGACAGGCGUAGGCGAUGGAUAACAGGUUGAUAUUCCUGUACCACCUAGUAUCGUUUUAAUCGAUGGGGGGACGCAGUAGGAUAGGCGAAGCGUGCUGUUGGAGUGCACGUCCAAGCAGUAAGGCUGAGUGUUAGGCAAAUCCGGCACUCAUAAGGCUGAGCUGUGAUGGGGAGAGGAAAUUGUUUCCUCGAGUCGUUGAUUU
rnacentral:rRNA from 1 species